AUGUUACACACAAUAGAGACCUAUACUUAGACUUUAGGUCCUUAGAAAAUACCUUUGUUAGACUCCCAAAUGAUUGUAGAGUCAAGAUAGCAGGCAUAGGAUUCAUUCAACUGUCUGAUGCAAUCUCUCUACAUAAUGUGCUUUAUAUUCCUGAAUUUAAAUUCAAUUUGAUCAGUGUUAGUGUUCUUACUAAGUUUUUGAAAACAAAAGUGAGCUUUACAUCUGAUGAAUUUUUUGUUCAAGAACUUACAAAGGAGUUGAUGAUUGGUAGAGGUAGUGAAGUUGGGAAUCUUUAUGUUCUGGAUUUCAAUGAAAAUAAUCAUAUUGUGUCUUUAAAAGGUACUGCUUCUAUGUGUCCUGAGUUUUCUGUUUGUUCUUCUGUUGUUGUUGAUUCUGUUACAUGGCAUAAGAGAUUAGGUCAUCCUGCUUAUUCUAAGAUUGAUUUGUUGUCUGAUGUGUUGAACCUUAAAGAUAAAAAGAUAAAUAAAGAACAUUCCCCGGUUUGUCAUGUUUGUCAUUUGUCAAAACAAAAACAUUUA
rnacentral:sRNA from 1 species